AGACAUUGCCGGAGGUCCCCUUGAGAGAAACUUGCACUGGGUGAGAACCACCAGAGGACCACGAAGUGACACCAGGUGGCAAUUCAAACCCAGAAGAAGGAAUGAAAGCACUGGAAAUGGUCAUGUGAAGCCACUGGAACAAGAGGCAAGGCUGGAGACGGGAGUUAUUCUGUAACCAGUUACGGGGAGACGGGGCACAGCGAGGAAGCACCAUCAGACUGUCUCGAAGAGCGCAACUUGUUCUCCUUAUUUACUCCCGGAAAGAGCAGUCCCGUCCUGCAGGACAUCAGUUCUGGUACCCGGCGGAGUGCCUGGCACAGGGAAGGUCUGGACAGCAGCAGCGAAUUCUCAAGUGCACAAACAGGGAACUGCUCCAGUGAAGGCAGAAGAACGAAAAUAACACACGCGUCCAGGAAGCCGCAAGGAGACGGCCGGACUGUAGUACCGUGCAGGCGGGCGCAAGACACCUGCAGGCUGCGUCCACCCUGGAGAUAAGGCCGGCAGAUGAGUGCUGAGCUCCGAAGGCAGCGCGAGGGCCGAGAGCUAGGCCGGCCGUCCUCUGGGGCAGCUGCGCUUAGAUCGACCUCCGUGACCCUGCGGAGCAGCCCAGACACCAUCUGCGGGCGAGUGAGGACAGGGUGGCAAACACCCGCCUCAGCAUUAAAGAGGAAGCUAUUAAAGCUGCAUAUUUUUCAAAGAGAGAGAAGGAGUACAAAGGAGAAUGAUCAGAAACCCCCUAAAUUGCCAGUGUGGGUUACAGUAAUUGCUAAAUUACAACACUACUUUAUUAGGCGCACACCCCCCCUCAGCUUCCACAGUUUUCAAGGGCCGCCUUGAGCUGACAAAAGCCAGAAAGCGCUGAGGGA